rnacentral:rRNA from 1 species
UGGAGAGUUUGAUCCUGGCUCAGAACGAACGCUGGCGGCAUGCCUAAUACAUGCAAGUCGAACGAGACCUUCGGGUCUAGUGGCGCACGGGUGCGUAACGCGUGGGAAUCUGCCCUUGGGUUCGGAAUAACAUCGGGAAACUGAUGCUAAUACCGGAUGAUGUCGAUAAGACCAAAGAUUUAUCGCCCAGGGAUGAGCCCGCGUAGGAUUAGCUAGUUGGUGGGGUAAAGGCUUACCAAGGCGACGAUCCUUAGCUGGUCUGAGAGGAUGAUCAGCCACACUGGGACUGAGACACGGCCCAGACUCCUACGGGAGGCAGCAGUAGGGAAUAUUGGACAAUGGGCGCAAGCCUGAUCCAGCAAUGCCGCGUGAGUGAUGAAGGCCUUAGGGUUGUAAAGCUCUUUUACCCGGGAUGAUAAUGACAGUACCGGGAGAAUAAGCUCCGGCUAACUCCGUGCCAGCAGCCGCGGUA